UACGAGGGGGGCAAGCGUUGUUCGGAAUUAUUGGGCGUAAAGGGUGCGUAGGCGGUCUGAUAAGUCAUCUGUGAAAUCUAUGGGCUCAACCCAUAGUCUGCAGGCGAAACUGUCGGGCUUGAGUAUGGGAGAGGUGAGUGGAAUUUCCGGUGUAGCGGUGAAAUGCGUAGAUAUCGGAAGGAACACCUGUGGCGAAAGCGGCGCACUGGACCACAACUGACGCUGAGGCGCGAAAGCUAGGGGGAGCAAACAGG
rnacentral:rRNA from 1 species